GACGUAGGGCGCGAGCGUUGUCCGGAUUUAUUGGGCGUAAAGAGCUCGUAGGCGGCUUGUCGCGUCGAAUGUGAAAUCUCAGGGCUCAACUCUGACAUUGCAUUCGAUACGGGCAGGCUAGAGUUCGGUAGGGGAGACUGGAAUUCCUGGUGUAGCGGUGAAAUGCGCAGAUAUCAGGAAGAACACCGAUGGCGAAGGCAGAUCUCUGGGCCGUAACUGACGCUGAGGAGCGAAAGCAUGGGGAGCGAACAGG
rnacentral:rRNA from 1 species